rnacentral:rRNA from 1 species
UACAGAGGUCUCAAGCGUUGUUCGGAUUCACUGGGCGUAAAGGGUGCGUAGGUGGCAGGGUAAGUCGGAUGUGAAAGCUCGGAGCUCAACUCCGAAAUGGCAUUGGAAACUACCCAGCUCGAGGGUUGGAGGGGGGACUGGAAUGCUUGGUGUAGCAGUGAAAUGCGUAGAUAUCAAGCGGAACACCAGUGGCGAAGGCGAGUCCCUGGACAACUCCUGACACUGAGGCACGAAAGCUAGGGGAGCAAACGGG